GACGAACGCUGGCGGCGUGCCUAAUACAUGCAAGUAGAACGCUGAAGGAGGAGCUUGCUCUUCUGGAUGAGUUGCGAACGGGUGAGUAACGCGUAGGUAACCUGCCUGGUAGCGGGGGAUAACUAUUGGAAACGAUAGCUAAUACCGCAUAACAGUAGAUGUUGCAUGACAUUUGCUUAAAAGGUGCACUUGCACCACUACCAGAUGGACCUGCGUUGUAUUAGCUAGUUGGUGGGGUAACGGCUCACCAAGGCGACGAUACAUAGCCGACCUGAGAGGGUGAUCGGCCACACUGGGACUGGGACACGGCCCAGACUCCUACGGGAGGCAGCAGUAGGGAAUCUUCGGCAAUGGACGGAAGUCUGACCGAGCAACGCCGCGUGAGUGAAGAAGGUUUUCGGAUCGGAAAGCUCUGUUGUAAGAGAAGAACGAGUGUGAGAGUGGAAAGUUCACACUGUGACGGUAUCUUACCAGAAAGGGACGGCUAACUACGUG
rnacentral:rRNA from 1 species